UUGCUGAGAGUGGCGGACGGGUGAGUAAUGCUUGGGAAUCUGGCUUAUGGAGGGGGAUAACUACGGGAAACUGCAGCUAAUACCGCGUAAUAUCUUCGGAUUAAAGGGUGGGACUUUCGGGCCACCUGCCAUAAGAUGAGCCCAAGUGGGAUUAGGUAGUUGGUGGGGUAAAGGCCUACCAAGCCGACGAUCUCUAGCUGGUCUGAGAGGAUGACCAGCCACACUGGAACUGAGACACGGUCCAGACUCCUACGGGAGGCAGCAGUGGGGAAUAUUGCACAAUGGGGGGAACCCUGAUGCAGCCAUGCCGCGUGAAUGAAGAAGGCCUUCGGGUUGUAAAGUUCUUUCGGUGAUGAGGAAGGGUGGUGUUUUAAUAGAACAUUACAUUGACGUUAGUCACAGAAGAAGCACCGGCUAACUCCGUGCCAGCAGCCGCGGUAAUACGGAGGGUGCGAGCGUUAAUCGGAAUGACUGGGCGUAAAGGGCACGCAGGCGGUGACUUAAGUGAGAUGUGAAAGCCCCGAGCUUAACUUGGGAAUUGCAUUUCAUACUGGGUUGCUAAAGUAUUUUAGGGAGGGGU
rnacentral:rRNA from 1 species